UGAGGAACAUGACCUUCGGCGGGGGAUAGCCGGCCCAACGGCCGGGUAAUACCGUGUACGACCACAUGGGGACAUCCCUGAGUGGUGAAAGCAGCAAUGCGCCGAUGGAGUGCCUCGCGGCCUAUCAGCUAGUUGGUGAGGUAACGGCUCACCAAGGCGACGACGGGUAGCUGGUCUGAGAGGAUGGCCAGCCACAUUGGGACUGAGACACCGGCCCAGACCUGUACCGGGGAGG
rnacentral:rRNA from 1 species